UAAAUCUUGACAGAUAUGCUCUAGAACCAUCUGGUCCUAAUGAGUUUAGUGCAACUCUAACGCCAAACGGGUU
rnacentral:tRNA from 1 species